CACGUAGGGUGCGAGCGUUGUCCGGAAUUAUUGGGCGUAAAGAGCUCGUAGGCGGUGUGUCGCGUCGGCCGUGAAAACCUGCAGCUUAACUGUGGGCGUGCGGUCGAUACGGGCAGACUAGAGGUAGGCAGGGGAGAGCGGAACUCCUGGUGUAGCGGUGGAAUGCGUUGAUAUCAGGAGGAACACCCAUGGCGAAGGCAGCAUACUGGCCGGCAUCUGACGCUGAGGCGCGAAAGCGUGGGUAGCAAACAGG
rnacentral:rRNA from 1 species